GCCUCCUCAGGUCUUAUGAUGAGGCUUGAGGAAAAUGUGGGGCCACGUCAACCCUGACAGGAACCCCGUCCUCCUCAGGACCAGCACUUUGGCUUCAGGACAUAUGGGGCUGCGUCUAUGCUGACAGGAGCCCACAGCCCCCUCAGGACCCGCGGUGGGUUUUCUAGGGGAUGUGGGACCAUGUCCAUGCUGACAGGAGCCCCCAGCUUCCUGAGGACCUGCUGUGAGGCUUCCAGAGGAUGUGAGACAUAGUCCACAGUGACAGGAGACCCGGUGUCCUCAGGACCCGCUGACUAUGACUCAGGAACACGUUGGUCCAUGUCCACACUCAAAGGAGCCCGGGUCGCUUGGACCCCCUGGAGGACUCUGGAGGAGCCAUUGGGGGCCACGUCUACAUCAGAAGGGACUCCUCAGAACCACAGGGAACCGCAGUGAGGCUUCAGGAAGAUGUGGGCCCGCAUCCACCCUGACAAGAACACCUGGGCCACUUCAGGACCUGCAGGGAGCCUUCAGGAAUCUGUGGUGCCGUGUCCACUCUGGCAGGAGCUCCCGGGCCGCUCAGGACAUAAGUUGAGGCUUCUGGAAGGUGAGGGCCGCAUCCACGGUGUCAGCAGCCUUGGCCUCCUCAGAACCUGCAGUGACGUUAUGGGAGGACAUGUGGCCAAGCCACACAACAGGACGCUGACGUCCUCAGGACCCCCGGUGUAGACUUCGGGAAAUAUGGGGAUGCUUCCAUGCAGACAGGAGACCCCAGGCUUGUCAGGGCCUUUGGUGAGGCCUAAGAAAAUGUGGGUGCCCAAUCCACACUGACAGGAGUCUCCGGCCUCCUAAGGACCUGCCCUUUGACUUCUGGAUAUAUGGGGCUGUGUCUAUGCUUACAGGAGCCCACAGCCCCCUCAGAAGCCGCGGUGAGUUUUCUGGAGACCAUGGGGCCAUGUCCAGACUGACAGGAGCCCUCGGCCUCCUGAGGACUUGCUGUGAGGCUUCCAGAGGAUGUGAGGCAUAGUCCACAGUGACAGGAGACCCGGCGUCCUCAGGACCCGCUGACUAUGACUCAGGAACACAUGGGGCCACGUCCACACUCACAGGAUCCUGGUUUCCUCAGCACCCCCUGGAGGACUCUGGAGGCACCGUUGGGGGCCACGUCCACCUCAAAAGGGACUACUCAGAACCACAGGGUAAGU
rnacentral:lncRNA from 12 species